rnacentral:sRNA from 1 species
GAUUUGAGGGAAAUGUCUGAUUAGUAGACAGGCCCCAGAAGCUGUGAGGGGCACUCGCACGCGACCAAGGCACCUGUUUCCAAGCAGCUUGCUCAGGAUCUGGCAUACCCCAGUGCCAAUAUCUGCAAUGUGGUCCUGAUGCGGUACGGGGAGCUGGAGGAAGGGAUUGAUGUCCUGGACAGCGAUGGCAACCUCGUGGGCUCCUCCAAGAUUGCAGCCCGACACGCCCUGCUGGAGACGGCGCUGACGCGAGUGGUCCUGCCCAUGCCCAUCCUGGUGCUACCCCCGAUCGUCAUGUCCAUGCUGGAGAAAUUGAAACAUCCCAAUUAGAGCCGGAGAUAGCCCAGGCCACGAGCAGCCGGACAGUGGUGUACAACAAGGGGUUGUGAGUGUGGUCAGCGGCCUGGGGACGGAGCACUGUGCAGCCGGGGAGCUGAGGGGCAGGGCCGUAGACUCACGGCUGCACCUGCAGGGAGCAGCACGCCAACCCCAGCAGUCCUGGGCCCCCUGGGAGAGUGCUCAACCUACAGUGGAGGGAGACUGACCCAUUCACAUUUUAACAUAGGCAAGAGGAGUUCUAACACAUUUCGUACAAAAAAAUAAUCAAGUGCAUUUCUGGGCCUUAUGUGGGGUUGUCAAAACUCCACUCAGCACAAUUAUGUGUGAAGCUGAAAAAUUGUAGAGUGCCCAUGGGGUAGAAGUAGAAUCCUUUUAUACUUUGGUUCCUUUUUUAUUUUUAUUUUUUAUCAGAAUCAAAUCUGAGCCUUAGUUUCAGCUGACCAGAAGUGGCAGGAGGACAGGUGGAGGC